UUAUAGACUAAAUUUUGAUGUGGACAAAAAUUUCAUCACAGCGUGAAAGAGCAUCACAAAAUUAGUAACAUUCCAAAGUUUCGUUGCGAAUUGUUGUAAAAUGCGGAUAAUAUAGCUAUGCGAAGUUUGCCGUUUUUCAGUCAUUUUGUAUUAUGCACGGGAAAUUGACAGCCCAAUCGGGUGUUGGGGCAUCAAUUUCCCGUUUGUAAUACAAAACGACUGAAAAUUGCAAAUUUCGCAAGG
rnacentral:lncRNA from 1 species